UACAGAGGGGGCAAGCGUUAUUCGGAAUUAUUGGGCGUAAAGGGCGCGUAGGCGGCUUUGCAAGUGACGUGUGAAAUCCCUCGGCUUAACCGAGGAACUGCCUGUCAGACUGCAUGGCUUGAGACCGGGAGAGGUGAGUGGAAUUCCCAGUGUAGCGGUGAAAUGCGUAGAUAUUGGGAGGAACACCAGUGGCGAAGGCGGUUCACUGGACCGGUACUGACGCUGAUGCGCGAAAGCGUGGGGAGCAAACAGG
rnacentral:rRNA from 1 species